rnacentral:tRNA from 1 species
GAGCCCGUAGUUUAGUGGUAUAACGUCUCCUUGACGUGGAGAAGGUCGUCGGUUCGAAUCCGGCCGGGCUCA